UACGGGGGGGGCAAGCGUUGUUCGGAAUUACUGGGCGUAAAGGGCGCGUGGGCGGUCGUGACAAGUCACUUGUGAAAUCUCCGGGCUUAACUCGGAACGGUCAAGUGAUACUGUCGGACUAGAGUACAGAAGGGGCAACUGGAAUUCUCGGUGUAGCGGUGAAAUGCGUAGAUAUCGAGAGGAACACCUGCGGCGAAGGCGGGUUGCUGGGCUGAUACUGACGCUGAGGCGCGAAAGCCAGGGGAGCGAACGGG
rnacentral:rRNA from 1 species